AGUGAACGCUGGCGGUAGGCCUAACACAUGCAAGUCGAACGGCAGCACAGGAGAGCUUGCUCUCUGGGUGGCGAGUGGCGGACGGGUGAGGAAUACAUCGGAAUCUACUUUUUCGUGGGGGAUAACGUAGGGAAACUUACGCUAAUACCGCAUACGACCUACGGGUGAAAGCAGGGGACCUUCGGGCCUUGCGCGAUUGAAUGAGCCGAUGUCGGAUUAGCUAGUUGGCGGGGUAAAGGCCCACCAAGGCGACGAUCCGUAGCUGGUCUGCGAAGAUGAUCAGCCACACUGGAACUGAGACACGGUCCAGACUCCUACGGGAGGCAGCAGUGGGGAAUAUUGGACAAUGGGCGCAAGCCUGAUUCAGCCAUACCGCGUGGGUGAAGAAGGCCUUCGGGUUGUAAAGCCCUUUUGUUGGGAAAGAAAUCCAGCUGGCUAAUACCCGGUUGGGAUGACGGUACCCAAAGAAUAAGCACCGGCUAACUUCGUGCCAGCCGCCGCAGUAA
rnacentral:rRNA from 1 species